rnacentral:rRNA from 1 species
UACAGAGGGUGCAAGCGUUAAUCGGAAUUACUGGGCGUAAAGCGUGCGUAGACGGUUGCGUAAGUCAGAUGUGAAAGCCCCGGGCUCAACCUGGGAAUUGCAUUUGAGACUGCGUAGCUAGGGUGCGGAAGAGGGAAGCGGAAUUUCCGGUGCAGCGGUGAAAUGCGUAGAUAUCGGAAGGAACACCAGUGGCGAAAGCGGCUUCCUGGUCCAGCACCGACGUUCAGGCACGAAAGCGUGGGGAGCAAACAGG